AACGAACGCUGGCGGCAUGCCUAACACAUGCAAGUCGAACGAGACCUUCGGGUCUAGUGGCGCACGGGUGCGUAACGCGUGGGAACCUGCCCUUAGGUUCGGAAUAACUCCCCGAAAGGGGUGCUAAUACCGGAUAAUGUCUUCGGACCAAAGAUUUAUCGCCUUUGGAUGGGCCCGCGUUGGAUUAGCUAGUUGGUAGGGUAAAAGCCUACCAAGGCGACGAUCCAUAGCUGGUCUGAGAGGAUGAUCAGCCACACUGGGACUGAGGCACGGCCCAGACUCCUACGGGAGGCAGCAGUGGGGAAUAUUGGAAAAUGGGCGAAAGCCUGAUCCAGCAAUGCCGCGUGAGUGAUGAAGGCCUUAGGGUUGUAAAGCUCUUUUACCCGGGAUGAUAAUGACAGUACCGGGAGAAUAAGCUCCGGCUAACUCCGUG
rnacentral:rRNA from 1 species